CUUAAAUUCUGGUUUAGAAGAGGUUAUAUAUGAUGAUUUUUUUUUUUUAUCUAAACAUUACUAUAGUAUUUAAUUAUGGAAUGAAAUAAAAAACAGCAUAAUCUUAAACUUAACUAUAAUAUUUAACAUAGCAGUUAAUCAUAUUUAACAUAGCAUUUUUUACUCAUAUCAUACUUAUGAGUAAAAAAAUUAUUUUCUAAUAAAAGAUAGUUAGAAUUCAGACAUGUCCCUGAUUAAUUUUAAGGCUAGUUCUCAAUCAUGUGCUAAACAUCUGUGUGAUUCUGUCUAUUAUAGAUCAUUACAUUCAUGGAAAUUUGCUGGAUUGUAUAAAAUAGGAAUUGUUGAGUUUGGCAUAAAUCCUUAUAAAUUUUUCAAGAGAUGGGUUCCUAAUUUAAUCCUAGUUCCUAUGAUAGGAAACCUGAAAUGUUUCACACAUUGCUAAUCUGGCAAAUAUCCUGUGAGCUGGGAUAUAUUGUUAGGUAUUGUUAGUGCUAGGGUUAGGUAUAUUGCUAGGUAUAUUGCUAGGUAUAUUGUUCAUUGACAAUAUGAAAAUAUUGUCAAUGAACAAUAUACUGUUAAUAGCUUGAAUUAGAGUUCAUAUAAAAUUUAAUUAGAUUAUUUUUAUAGUUUCUGUAGGUUUCCACUUCAUUCUCUC
rnacentral:lncRNA from 1 species